CCUAUCACUAAUCUAUCACCUCAUCAUCCUCCUCCCUGCAUAUAAGCCCGCACCUAUAUCUCUGGAUUCUGGUCUACGACAUAGGACUACUCCUUGAUUCGUGCAAUCGACUUACCUGGUUUCUUCAGUGGCAGCUGGAGCCCAGAGUCAAAUCCCAACACAACCGGACGGCACGGCGCUUGACAGUACAUGGAUGUGUGUUCGUAUUGGUAUAUGUGUGCAGUAUAAUGUGUGGCCUUCAAAGCUCUUCUGACUGCUCAGAGGCAGCGAGAGAUGGAGGGCAAAAAGAGAAAGACAGAAGAAGAAAAUGAAGGAAUAAAUAGGAUGGAGGUUUUAAUUAAAGGGACCCCCUGGAGAGAGGGAACACUGCAUACCCCGACAGAUAUGACUGCUGAGGAAAGAAAGGCAGAUGGUUACAGAAAUGAAAUCUGGAAACCGGGUUAUCUUUAUUACUGGCAAGACCAUUAGUGCUGUGGAGAAGGAUCAGUAUCUCGGGUUAUGGUCAUCUGACCAUGUUAACUUCAGAAGCAACUUGUACAGUUCUCUGAUACCAAACUGCUGUAAAACCCCUCCUCACGCCAAUUAAAGCACAUUUAGACGCAGCUUUGUCCUCUUUCUUCAUGGGUUUCUAUCCUGGAUGCCUUAUUU
rnacentral:lncRNA from 1 species